CUAUGGCUGCAUGUUAAAAUAUUGGUAACUUUCCAUGCCUUUCCCUUAGAAAAACAUGGCAGAACAUACCCACUGAGCCAGUUUUUUUGUCAUAUGAAUAGUUUUGUAACAAAAAAUGAUGUAACAUUUAUUUAAAUGGGAACUGUAAAUAUAUUUACCUGCAGCCAUAGACAAAUGCAUAAGUUUUCAGAAAAUGUAUUAUUUUACUGAUUUUGAUAUCUGGUUAGUAAGUUUUACUUGCUACAAGUUUUAAGUUUAGCAGGCACGCGUGAAAUUUUAACUGGCUAGGAAGAAGCCUAUCUCUGUUAUCUAUGUCUCUGUUAGAAUAUGAUUUUUAAUAAAGUAAGAAAAUGCAUUUAAAUACAAUGUAUGUCAAAACAGAUCCAGAUAAAAUAAUAUCCUUUUUUCAGAUGUAUAACCAUCAUUGUUUUUUAUCAUUUACUGUUUCAACUGCUUGUCAUAACGAGGCUUUGAAUCUUGGCUAUCGGUUUCAUCUUCAUUGGCCUUGUAUUGCUUUACGGUCGUGACUUGCUCUAAUAAAAAGUAAAUUUAAUCUGCAGAAACUAUUUUAAGGCUUUGUUCUAAUCUGAUAAAUGUGAAUGUAUUAAAAUGUUGAUUUAUAUUUAAACAGGUGAACAUUUGGUUGGACCAUUUGACGAGUGUUUCUGCCAACAGAAAACGGGGCAAGGCAAAGGCGUCCGAGACACGGUCUUUGAAAAAGGUUCAAGCUUCUAUCCAGGUCCCAGCUCCUAUCAAGGUUCAAGCUCCUAUAUAUCCCGACUCAAGCUCCCAUCCAGGCUCCUGCUCCUAUCCAGGCUCUUGAGGAAAGUGCACCAGAUUAAAAACAAUGUGGAAGUGUCCAGGUUUGGCCGCAGGAGGAGGAAGAAUGUCCUUUUUAAUGACUUUUUGUGUUAAAUGUUAAAAUAAAAUAAGAAGUUAAAGUGUUGUAAGUUUUUAGCUCAUCUGAGCUGUGAGCACGAAGCUAUUGUAAUCGGUGAAUGUCUGUCUUCGCAAAUCUGGUGUCCUCAACUUUUAGUGUUUUAACACUCUAAGAGGCCACAGAUAUGGUUCAAUUAUAAUUAAGCUUAGUCAGCAUGCUUACCAUCCCUACAGAAACUGGGUCAUGUGGUGUCAGAAACUAUGUUAGUAGGUUUAUUUUGUAGCUAAACUAUAAAUGUAAAAUAUUUAAGAGCUUAUACGAUCGAUUGUGUGUCCGUGUCCGCAAUGGUUUUUUUAAGUCAUACAUUCUAUUCUAUGAAAGAUAUUCAAUCGAAACUAAGUACGGUAUUUAGUGGGACUACCACUACCAUACUAAGAAGGCCUUUAACCUGGAUGCAUUAUUUUCAGAAUUAUGCCCCUUUAUUACUUGAAAAUACCCAUUUUAUCUUCAAAGUCUAAUUAUUUGAAUACUAUCAAAGUUAUUAAACUACAAUUGAUACAUAUAUACUCAUUGGGAGUGACUAUACCUACCUUACUUCAGAGGCCCAUUAAUCUGGACUCAUUAUUUUCCUAAUCAUAAGCCUUUGUACUUAUAUUUUUCAUUGUUUUUCUGAUAACAGUUUUAUUUAUUGAUUGAUCUCUUAGAUAUUUACCCUCUCCCCUACCCCCGGGGCAUUUGAUGCACCAAGCAGGCUCAAGGGUGGGGAUUUAGACAAAAUUGGUUGUCUCUAGGGUGGGGAUUUAGACUUCAAACAUUUUAAGAUGUCAAAUUCACCUGGGUCAGCCCGCCGCCCCCCGGGCGGGCAAAAUAUUGAUAGGU